AUUCUAUGAUGACCAACUACUGCUUGACAUUCGGUGGAAGCAAAGUAACUGAUUUAAUGAGUCUGAGAA
rnacentral:snoRNA from 1 species